GAUGAACGCUGGCGGCGUGCCUAAUACAUGCAAGUCGAGCGCAGCGGGGACGGGUGAGUAACCCGUGGAUACCCUCCUUUAAGUCUGGGAUAACUUCGGGAAACCCGAGCUAAACCUGAUACUUAUAUAUCGCUCCGCGCUGCAUUAGCUAGUUGGUAAGGUAACGGCUGACCAAGGCAACGAUGCAUAGCCGACCUGAGAGGGUGAUCGGCCACACUGGAACUGAGACACGGCCCAGACUCCUACGGGAGGCAGCAGUAGGGAAUCUUCCGCAAUGGACGAAAGCCUGACAGAGCAACGCCGCGUGAGUGAAGAAGGUCUUCGGAUCGUAAAACUCUGUUAUUAGGGAAGCGGUACCUAAUCAGAAAGCCACGGCUAACUACGUGCCAGCAGCCGCGGUAAUUC
rnacentral:rRNA from 1 species